rnacentral:rRNA from 1 species
AUUGAACGCUGGCGGCAGGCCUAACACAUGCAAGUCGAGCGGAGCGGCGGACGUGUGCGUAAUGCCUAGGAAUCUGCCUGGUAGUGGUGGAUAACGUCCGGAAACGGGCCCUAAUACCGCAUACUAUCAGAUUAGCCUAGGUCGGAUUAGCUAGUUGGUGGGGUAAAGGCCUACAAAGGCGACGAUCCAUAACUGGUCUGAGAGGAUGAUCAGUCACACUGGAACUGAGAAACGGUCCAGACUACUACGGGAGGAAGCAGUGGGGAAUAUUGGACAAUGGGCGAAAGCCUGAUCCAGCCAUGCCGCGUGUGUGAAGAAGGUCUUCGGAUUGUAAAGAACUUUAAGUUGGGAGGCGUUACCAACAGAAUAAGCACCGGCUAACUUCGUGCCAGCAGCCGAGGUAAAUC